GGGCGCAUAACUCAGCGGUAGAGUGUUACCUUCACACGGUAGAAGUCACAGGUUCGAAUCCUGUUGCGCCCACCA
rnacentral:tRNA from 2 species